UGAGGAAUAUUGGACAAUGGGCGCAAGCCUGAUCCAGCCAUGCCGCGUGCAGGAUGACGGUCCUAUGGAUUGUAAACUGCUUUUGUACAGGAAGAAACAGUUCUACGUGUAGAACCUUGACGGUACUGUAAGAAUAAGGAUCGGCUAACUCCGUGCCAGCAGCCGCGGUAAUACGGAGGAUCCAAGCGUUAUCCGGAAUCAUUGGGUUUAAAGGGUCCGUAGGCGGUUAGAUAAGUCAGUGGUGAAAGCCCAUCGCUCAACGGUGGAACGGCCAUUGAUACUGUCUGACUUGAAUUAUUAGGAAGUAACUAGAAUAUGUAGUGUAGCGGUGAAAUGCUUAGAGAUUACAUGGAAUACCAAUUGCGAAGGCAGGUUACUACUAAUGGAUUGACGCUGAUGGACGAAAGCGUGGGUAGCGAACAGGAUUAGAUACCCCCGUAGUCCCUGAGUCGGGCUGGCAAGGCGCAU
rnacentral:rRNA from 1 species